rnacentral:rRNA from 1 species
UACGGGGGGGAGCAAGCGUUGUUCGGAUUUACUGGGCGUAAAGGGCGCGUAGGCGGCCUCCGCAAGUCAGUUGUGAAAUCUCCGAGCUUAACUCGGAAAGGUCAACUGAUACUGCGGGGCUAGAGUGCGGAAGGGGCAACUGGAAUUCUUGGUGUAGCGGUGAAAUGCGUAGAUAUCAAGAGGAACACCGGUGGCGAAGGCGGAUCUCUGGGCCAUUACUGACGCUGAGGAGCGAAAGCGUGGGGAGCGAACAGG